rnacentral:tRNA from 1 species
AUUUAAAUAGCUUAAGAUAAAGUUUAAUAUUGAAAAUAUUAAGAUGAUUAAUGUAUCUUUAAAUA